CAGGCUUAACACAUGCAAGUCGAGGGGCAGCAUUUCAGUUUGCUUGCAAACUGGAGAUGGCGACCGGCGCACGGGUGAGUAACACGUAUCCAACCUGCCGAUAACUCGGGGAUAGCCUUUCGAAAGAAAGAUUAAUACCCGAUGGUAUAAUCAGACCGCAUGGUCUUGUUAUUAAAGAAUUUCGGUUAUCGAUGGGGAUGCGUUCCAUUAGGCAGUUGGUGAGGUAACGGCUCACCAAACCUUCGAUGGAUAGGGGUUCUGAGAGGAAGGUCCCCCACAUUGGAACUGAGACACGGUCCAAACUCCUACGGGAGGCAGCAGUGAGGAAUAUUGGUCAAUGGGCGCAGGCCUGAACCAGCCAAGUAGCGUGAAGGAUGACUGCCCUAUGGGUUGUAAACUUCUUUUAUAUGGGAAUAAAGUUUUCCACGUGUGGAAUUUUGUAUGUACCAUAUGAAUAAGGAUCGGCUAACUCCGUGCCAGCAGCCGCGGUAAUACGGAGGAUCCGAGCGUUAUCCGGAUUUAUUGGGUUUAAAGGGAGCGUAGGUGGACAGUUAAGUCAGUUGUGAAAGUUUGCGGCUCAACCGUAAAAUUGCAGUUGAUACUGGCUGUCUUGAGUACAGUAGAGGUGGGCGGAAUUCGUGGUGUAGCGGUGAAAUGCUUAGAUAUCACGAAGAACUCCGAUUGCGAAGGCAGCUCACUGGACUGCAACUGACACUGAUGCUCGAAAGUGUGGGUAUCAAACAGGAUUAGAUACCCUGGUAGUCCACACAGUAAACGAUGAAUACUCGCUGUUUGCGAUAUACAGUAAGCGGCCAAGCGAAAGCAUUAAGUAUUCCACCUGGGGAGUACGCCGGCAACGGUGAAACUCAAAGGAAUUGACGGGGGCCCGCACAAGCGGAGGAACAUGUGGUUUAAUUCGAUGAUACGCGAGGAACCUUACCCGGGCUUAAAUUGCAUUUGAAUAUAUUGGAAACAGUAUAGCCGUAAGGCAAAUGUGAAGGUGCUGCAUGGUUGUCGUCAGCUCGUGCCGUGAGGUGUCGGCUUAAGUGCCAUAACGAGCGCAACCCUUAUCUUUAGUUACUAACAGGUCAUGCUGAGGACUCUAGAGAGACUGCCGUCGUAAGAUGUGAGGAAGGUGGGGAUGACGUCAAAUCAGCACGGCCCUUACGUCCGGGGCUACACACGUGUUACAAUGGGGGGUACAGAAGGCAGCUACCUGGUGACAGGAUGCUAAUCCCAAAAGCCUCUCUCAGUUCGGAUCGAAGUCUGCAACCCGACUUCGUGAAGCUGGAUUCGCUAGUAAUCGCGCAUCAGCCAUGGCGCGGUGAAUACGUUCCCGGGCCUUGUACACACCGCCCGUCAAGCCAUGAAAGCCGGGGGUACCUGAAGUACGUAACCGCAAGGAGCGUCCUAGGGUAAAACUGGUAAUUGGGGCUAAGUCAUAACAA
rnacentral:rRNA from 1 species